rnacentral:rRNA from 1 species
UUUAACUGGAGAGUUUGAUCCUGGCUCAGGACGAACGCUGGCGGCGUGCCUAACACAUGCAAGUCGAGCGGAGGCAAAGUUCAACACUGAGUAUUUGAGUGAGAGCGUUGGUAAGUGAGCCAGCGCCAUGCACAAACAACAUUGAAGUUUGUAAGAUAGAAGUUUGUGCAUCACGCAAUACAGUGAAUAACACAAGCUCAAGUACUGAGUGUUGAACUUUGCCUUAGCGGCGGACGGGUGAGUAACGCGUGAGUAACCUACCUUGUACUGGGGGAUAACAGCCGGAAACGGCUGCUAAUACCGCAUAAGACCACAUUGCCGCAUGGCAAAGGGGUCA